ensembl:lncRNA
AUGAGAUCCAGUCAUUCCUUUAUCACACAGAUCAGCCAUACUGGUCUUCAGAAAAGUCUGCAGGCUGGCUUAUCAUCUAGCUCACCAUCAGAGAUCCAUGUCCUUUCAGAAUCCAUGUCCUCCAUGUCCUCUGAGAAUACAGCCUCUGGAUUAGUGGAAACCUUUGUCAAAGGAAUGGCGACUAUUUUCCAGAAAAAUGAGUCCACUGACACUGUGCUACUGGAAAGAAGUGGGAGAGUUUCACAGUGCUCCCACGGGGGCUCCCAACUGGAUGAUACUGAAUUGAGUGUUAAAAUAUCAGAGGAGAAGCUUUGGUCAACAGCUAAGAACAUCUGCGUCAGUAUGAAGAACACACUUAAGGAUUUCUUCACAGGGCUGAAGCCAUCCGGAUCCGAAAGGACAGAAAUGGCUUCUUCCAAAGAGACCCUUGGGGAAAUCCUGGUUGCUAUCCAGAGUGAAAUCUCAAACUUCGGGCGAAUGAAGGAUUCCAGGGAGCUCCUUCAGAUCAAUGAUAUGGUAGGAACUAUGCUGAAGGAGAUUGAGAAAAGUGAGGAUGACAGUGAACAAGUCUGCCAAGACAUCCCUCGAACCUGUUCAUCUUUAUCCACUUCUUUAAAUGGUCGUAGUUCCUUGUCCAGCUCUUCAAAGGGUCCUAGGUCAGAGUGUGAGUUAGAGAUCAACCUCCCUGGCACUCCCAUCCCUGACAAAGUGCCUUUUGAUCUGACCUGCCCCAUCGUCAGGAGCUCCUGCAUCGACACCAGGGACUCUAAAAUGCCAGAGAUUUCUACAAGUGACCUAAAGACAAAGAUGAUGGCACACACAGAUGAACCCCUGCAUCGUAACAGUCCAAUGACUGACAGCAGCCGACCACCGAGUGCUAAAGUCUCUUUUCGAUCCUCCACUCCGUCUUUCACCAGCAAGGGAACCUUUUUGGUACCAAAGGGAGAGGGGAUUGACAUUGAAGAGAAGGAGGUGUGUAUCCCUAGCAGCUCUGGCCAUCUGAGGGAGCUCUUAAUCAUCCCGGACAUCAGCAGUGCCACUGCAUUCCCACUGCAGUACUUGAUGGAUUCCAGCAAAGAUGAUGGCAUCUGUUUUGUCACCAUACUGGUGAUAAGGUUGCUAUCGGAGAUCAGACCCUCAGCCCUAGAUGGACCCUCCCAACAGGCAGCAGAUCUGACAGAAACAUCUCAGCAACUCAUCAGACAAGUCCUGUCUGAGUUCUGUGCUGCAUCCAGAUUAUCCAGGACACAGGCAUAUUCCCAGAACCUGAACAUCCAAAGGGUGUUCAGAGGUGUACAUAAAAACCUCAUGGAGGAGUUUGGCUCUUAUAACACCCUGCAAGCAGCUAUUUCCUCCCAGGACCCUGCAUUUGACAGAGUCCUGGUAAAGUCCUUGACCCAGCAGCUGGUACAGGGAUGCAAGGAGGCGUCAAGACCAAACCCAUCAGACCAGGCUGAGACAGAGAGGGGGGCUGAGCAGAAAGCAAGAAGGAGCUUCCUUUGCUUUUCAAUGACCAAACUCAGGAUCAACUUCAAGCGUUCCAAGAGAGGAAACAAAAAGGACUGCCAUUCAGUCCAAGACCAUACUGAGAUUCCCUCUACUGAUAGACAUUGCAUAGGUAAGGAUGUUUUAGAGCUCUGCUAUAGCUUGUAGUUUUGUUUAGGUGUGUGUUAGAAACAUAGGAAUGCCUAUCAAACUCAUAGCACUUGUUAUUUUUCAACGUUACUAUACUGAAUCUCUCUCUCUCUCUCUCUCUCUCUCUCUCUCUCUCUCUUACCCCAUCCAUUUCUCUUGUGUUUCUAGCUCCAAUUGGAGAGGUUUCUCCCUCCAUAUCUCAGCCUGUCAAAAAACGAUCCUUGAUUGUCAGGGUCUUUUCAGCAAUGAUGAAGCCAUUCAGGCGCUUCACCAAGAAGAACCUGUAACCUGUUACGCUGCAUGAAGAACUACUUUUGUAACAGCAAGACUUUUGACAAGAGGAAUUUCUGCAUGUCUAACCUUUCAAAGUCUAUUUGAUCAAAUAAAUGCCAAUGAUUUUACAAGAAAUUCAAAUGUUUUCGAAGAUUGAUAAUACUGAAGCAGAUUUUCUCAGAGAAAUGCACUAGUUCCCCCUUGGUUACACAUUUAUUGUUCAGCUUUUGAGUUGGCAGGACUUCAGGCGUCAGGUAGCCUUGUGGUUAGAGCAUUGGGCCAGUAACCAAAAAGUUGCUAGCGUCAGAUCCCUGAGCUGGCCAUGUAAAAAUAUGUUGUUAUGCUCCUGAACAAGGUAGUUAACCCACUGUUCCUAAGCUGUCAUUGUAAAUAAGAAUUUGUUCUGAACUGACUUGUCUAGGAAAAUAAAUAAAAUAACCACAGCUUGACUCUAAUACAAUAGUUGCUGCAUAGACUGUCAGAUAACCAGAUGUUCUCUAUUAAUUUAGUUAGAUUGGUAAGAGCUUAUUAGCAGCAAGGGGAAAACACAUAGAUGAGAAUUAGCUAUCUGCAGCUAGAUCAACCCUCUGAGAUGCUUUCUACAUUUUUUUUCUAUAUUUUUUUAUUUCACCUUUAUUUAACCAGGUAGGCAAGUUGAUUUACAAUUGCGACCUGGCCAAGAUAAAGCAAAGCAGUUCGACACAUACAACGACACAGAGUUACACAUGGAGUAAAACAAACAUACAGUCAAUAAUACAGUUUAAACAAGUCUAUAUACGAUGUGAGCAAAUAAGGUGAGAUAAGGGAGGUAAAGGCAAAAAAAGGCCAUGGUGGCAAAGUAAAUACAAUAUAGCAAGUAAAACACUGGAAUGGUAGAUUUGCAUUGGAAGAAUGUGCAAAGUAGAAGUAAAAAAUAAUGGGGUGCAAAGGAGCUAAAUAAAUAAAUAAAAUAAAUACAGUAGGGAAAGAGGUAGUUGAUUGGGCUAAAUUAUAGGUGGGCUAUGUACAGGUGCAGUAAUCUGUGAGCUGCUCUGACAGUUGGUGCUUAAAGCUAGUGAGGGAGAUAAGUGUUUCCAGUUUCAGAGAUUUUUGUAGUUCGUUCCAGUCAUUGGCAGCAGAGAACUGGAAGGAGAGGUGGCCAAAGAAAGAAUUGGUUUUGGGGGUGACCAGAGAGAUAUACCUGCUGGAGCGCGUGCUACAAGUGGGUGAUGCUAUGGUGACCAGCGAGCUGAGAUAAGGGGGGACUUUACCUAGCAGGGUCUUGUAGAUGACAUGGAGCCAGUGGGUUUGGCGACGAGUAUGAAGCGAGGGCCAGCCAAUGAGAGCGUACAGGUCGCAAUGAUGGGUAGUAUAUGGGGCUUUGGUGACAAAACGGAUUGCACUUUGAUAGACUGCAUCCAAUUUGUUGAGUAGGGUAUUGGAGGCUAUUUUGUAACUGACAUCGCCAAAGUCGAGGAUUGGUAGGAUGGUCAGUUUUACAAGGGUAUGUUUGGCAGCAUGAGUGAAGGAUGCUUUGUUGCGAAAUAGGAAGCCAAUUCUAGAUUUAACUUUGGAUUGGAGAUGUUUGAUGUGGGUCUGGAAGGAGAGUUUACAGUCUAACCAGACACCUAGGUAUUUGUUGUUGUCCACGUAUUCUAAGUCAGAGCCGUCCAGAGUAGUGAUGUUGGACAGGCGGGCAGGUGCAGGCAGCGAUCGGUUGAAGAGCAUGCAUUUAGUUUUACUUGUAUUUAAGAGCAAUUGGAGGCCACGGAAGGAGAGUUGUAUGGCAUUGAAGCUUGCCUGGAGGGUUGUUAACACAGUGUCCAAAGAAGGGCCAGAGACUCACCAGCAGCAAGAGCGACAUCACUGAUGUAUACAGAGAAGAGAGUCGGUCCAAGAAAAUAACCCUGUGGCACCCCCAUAGAGACUGCCAGAGGUCCGGACAGCAGACCCUCCGAUUUGACACACUGAACUCUAUCAGAGAAGUAGUUGGUGAACCAGGCGAGGCAAUCAUUUGAGAAACCAAGGCUGUCGAGUCUGACGAUGAGGAUGUGGUGAUUGACAGAGUCGAAAGCCUUGGCCAGAUCAAUGAAUGCGGCUGCACAGUAAUGUUUCUUAUCGAUGGCGGUUAAGAUAUCGUUUAGGACCUUGAGCGUGGCUGAGGUGCACCCAUGACCAGCUCUGAAACCAGAUUGCAUAGCAGAGAAGGUAUGGUGAGAUUCUAUUGUUUUCAUACUGUUUUUAUUUAUUUACUUUUCUGCUCUUUUGCUCACCAGUAUCUUUACCUGCACAUGACCAGCUGAUCAUUUAUCACUCCAGUGUUAAUCUGCUAAAUUGUAAUUAUUCGCCUACCUCCUCAUGCCUUUUGCACACAAUGUAUAUAGACUCUUUUUUUCUUUUUUUUCUACUGUGUUAUUGACUUGUUUAUUGUUUACUCCAUGUGUAACUCUGUGUUGUUGUCUGUUCACACUGCUAUGCUUUAUCUUGGCCAGGUUGCAGUUGUAAAUGAGAAUUUAAUCUCAACUAGCCUACCUGGUUAAAUAAAGGUGAAAUAAAAUAAAAAUAAAAAUCAGGCACUUUUUUUCAGAAAACCGAUGGCAGCGUCUAUCAUUGCUCUUCUACCAUCUAUCCCAUGUCUGCACCUCCCUCUUCCAUCAAAAACAAAUUAUCUGGUUAAAGUUAGUUAGGCUAGGGGUUAGGGUUAGGGUUAAGGUUAAAGUUAAGUUUAGGAGUUAGGUUAAAGGGUUAAGGUUAGAGUUAGGGGAAGGGUUAGCUAUAAGGGUUAGGGGAAGGGUUAGCUAACAUGCUAAGUAGUUACAAAGUAGCUAAAAAGUGGUAAGUAGUUGAAAGUUUGCUAAUUAGCUAAAGUUGUCUGUGAUGAGAUUCAAAAUCAUAACCUUUGGAUCGUUAGACAUCCGUGUUAUACUGUAUGCCCACCCCUCCACCCUGACCAACCACCCUACUUUCGUUUUUGCCUUAAAUAACCAUUUGUCUUAUAUAACCAUACCAAACAUAACAUAUUAUACUAAUUUGAGUGUCCCGGAAUUACAUUUACUAUGUUACGUCUAGUCUAUGAGAUCAGGCUGAUCACAGGCAUGAACAGAGUAACAGGUCAUUGUAGUUAUGAGUGUGAGUGUUAGAGAGGGAUUUGAGGAUUUCACUGUGGGUCAAUGCAGAGCUAAGCAUGAAGGAUUUUUGUGGCAUGACAUAAAACCAGAAACCACAGCACAGAGGAAACCUCUGAGGGUCAUAAUGGCUGGUCCCAUUAAACCUGGG